GAGGAUGUUGGCAAGCGGUCAAGCCGCCGGACUUUCAAUCUGGAGAUCGCGGGUUCGAAUCCCGCCGUCCUUACCA
rnacentral:tRNA from 1 species